rnacentral:rRNA from 1 species
UCCGUAGGUGAACCUGCGGAAGGAUCAUUACCGAAUUGUCAACAUGGGUUGUUGCUGGCCCUCCGAGGGGGGCAUGUGCACGCUCUGUUAACACAUCCACUCACACCUGUGCACCCUCUGUAGUUCUGUGGUCUGGGGGGCUCUGUCCUCCUCCCGCAGUCCUGCAUCCUUACACACACACACACUGUGACAAAAGUCUUAUGGGAUAUACGUAGCGUUUAACGCAAUACAAUACAACUUUCAGCAACGGAUCUCUUGGCUCUCGCAUCGAUGAAGAACGCAGCGAAAUGCGAUAAGUAAUGUGAAUUGCAGAAUUCAGUGAAUCAUCGAAUCUUUGAACGCACCUUGCGCCCUUUGGCUAUUCCGGAGGGCAUGCCUGUUUGAGUAUCAUGAACACCUCAACUCUCGUGGUUCUCCACAAUGAGUUUGGACCUUGGGGGUCUUGCUGGCUACAGUCGGCUCCUCUCAAAUGAAUCAGCUCACCAGUGUUCGGUGGUGCCAUGGGUGUGAUAAAUAUCUGCACCUGUGGAUUUCCAUCAGAUAGCCUUCAGUGAUAUGGGGGCUUGCUGGAGCUCAUAGAUGUCUCUCUUUGGUGGGGACAGCCUUUGAAUGUUUGAUCUCAAAUCAGGUAGGACUACCCGCUGAACUUAAGCAUAUCAAUAAGCGGAGGA